CUCGCCUACAUGAAGCUGGAGUUGCUAGUAAUCGCGAAUCAGCAUGUCGCGGUGAAUACGUUCCCGGGCCUUGUACACACCGCCCGUCACACCAUGAGAGUUGGCAAUACCCAACGUACGUGAUCUAACCCGCGAGGGAGGAAGCGUCCUAAGGUAGGGUCAGCGAUUGGGGUGAAGUCGUAACAAGGUACC
rnacentral:rRNA from 1 species